AUAUAUAUAAUGUUUCAAACCAUUUAUAUUUAGGAGACUAUCUUUGCUCCUUUCCUUUUCUCAUUCCGUCUCUUUCAUUCUUUCAUCUUAUCUAUGCUGUAUAAUUAUGUGUAUAUAUAUAUAUAUAUGCAUGUGUGACGUGUGUACGGUGGUGUGACAUAUAUAUAUACACAGCAUACAUGCGUACCGUUCAAUGAUACAUUCAUAUAUAAUUACGUAUAGUAUAGAUUUGAAGGAGAGAGUGAAUCGGUAGGUCGCCAGAGGUCAGACGUGUCUCGUUUACGUACGUUGCUUCUGCAACAAAGCUUCGCGAGAAGAUACGCGAUGUUUUACCCUUUGCAAGUUCUCCCUUCUCGGCGACGAGGAUCAUACCCGAAAUAGAUACGUCCCCCUUGGCGAUUGUAAUUCGAGCCGACUCCCCGUUAUAGCACUUUCUUCGCGACGACUAUUUUCGUACGUACCGCUCUUACCGCGCGGUAUCUUUUCAUCGUCCAUGCGCGCGAGACGCAGAAAGUGCUUACGAACGCAGUAACGUGUUUUUUAACGUUCUUUUUUGGAUACCACCCACGUAUUUAUUUUGCAUAUCGUUUUUAGAGUUCCUUCGAAGGAAUAACGAUACGAACAAACGAACAUUUCAAUGUUAUCGUUUUGUCUUUAACAAAGGAGACAAUUGAAAAAUAAUUGAUGAAAUUGAACUGCGCAAUAUUUCUGUCAACAUAAAUAAUAUUGAGUAUUUUUUAAUCGUAUAAAAAGAAAAGUAGAAGAAUAUAAAAAAGUUCGAUCGUUCGAUAUCAUCGAGAAGAAGAAUUAAAUUCGAAUCAACGUUAAUACUUAACCAAUAAAGAAUUAUUUUUGGAAGAGAAGGUUUAAUUUUUUCACGAAAGCGUUUACACGUACGUACCAUAGUUUGAAACUAAGAAGUUAUUUUUAUACUGAAAGAGAGAACGUGUCAAAGGGCAAGGCUAUAGUGCUUGAGGUGUUUGUCCUAGCUAGCUUCUAUGCCAGUUUCCUUUCGACAGUGCUACGUACAAGGUGUGACUCUAGAGCAUUCUUAAUCUGUGAGUUCUUAUGAAUAUAUUGUCAUUUUUGAGCAUCAAUGAUCGAUGCACUUUGUGAGAAGUGGUCAGUGACAUAUUGCUGUAUUUUGUAUAUACAUACAUAUUUAUUUAAAAUUCAUUGAUAUAAAUAAAGCAGCAAUAUGAGUAUUCCAGAGGAUGUAAAACAAUGCGUUGCCAUUUUAAAGUCGGUUAAUACUGACUCUGAAAAGUUUGCAGUUCUUUUCAUGGUAACUAAAUUAGUAAAUGCCAAAAAUUGCAAUCUAGCUGCUAAGCAAAUGCUUUUUGAAGCUAUUGGUACAAAAUUUAUAAAGAAAUUAUUAUCAAGCGACAUAGUUCCUGUCGAUUGUCCAGCACAAGUGUACAAAUCAGUAGCAUUAUCCAUCCUUUCUGCCUUUUGUGGAGAGCCAGAAUUAGCAUCUCAUCCAGAUAUGGUAACACAUGUCCCUAUUCUUCUUGAAAUUAUUUCUCAAGCUGAUGAAGAUGCAGCCGAUGACAUGUUAAUUAUCGUUAGCGAAGCUUACAGAUGCUUACAAAGCAUUACACAAUUUUUACCAGGUCAAAAGAUACUCCUGGAAAAUAAAGCAAUAUCUAAAAUGUGUGACAUUUAUUCUGAGAAAAGUUUUCAAACGGAUGAAGCUCUAGACAUUUUGGUUACUUUAGUUGGAAGAUAUGGUCCAGAUGCUUGGGAUGCAACAGAUACAGUACCUUUCCAUGCAAUUAUGAAUAAGAUUGCAUGUGAUUUUGAAACAGAUCACACAGAGAGAAAAUUUAAAUUAUGUAGUAUCUUGCAGGCAUUAUUGAUUUCUUGCAGAAAAGAAUUAAUAUCAAUGACUGCAAAAGAUGAAUCUUGGCCUCUUAGUAUCCACAAAGGAUUAAGCAAUAUUCUUGGUUCAAAGAUAGGGAAAGAUCAACGAGAUCCAGCUUUGAAAUUAGCUUCAGUUAUAAUGGAGCUUUUGGGUGCUGAAUGGACCAUAUUAAAUAAGGAAAAACCAAAGAUACUUAUACUAUUAUUAAUUCAGUUAGGAUCAAUAGAAGUUAGAAUGCAAUUGGAGGGUCAUCAGCUUAAAACUGUUGUUGCAAAUGGUGAAUUAGUUACAGCUUGUUUUGUAAUUCUUGAAAUGUCUCUUAUGUAUAUUAUCUCAGAUCAAUUAGAUCUAGAACAAAAAGAAAAGCAAUCUUUAUAUACAGCUUUGAAAGGUGCUUUUGCUGCUAUUAUUGGCCUAUUAAAUUCAGUAUCAAAAAUGAAAGAAUUGACUGAUAUCAAGGAACGUAUUUUUGUUUGUGCAAUGGUUAGAGUACUUGCAGCAUGGCUAGCACAAGAAACAACUGCAAUGAGGCCGCAAGUUUAUGCGGUAUUGCCAUUUGUAUUAACAAUAGCCAAUGAUACAUUUUAUGCCUACCGUAAUAGAAAACUUGCAGAAAAAGCAAAAGCAGGUGCUAAAGGUGGAAAUAUCAAAAAUGAAGUAGGAUCAUCCUCUGUUGAAUCAGUACCACGUGAUCCACUAAGUGAAAUUGAUUUAUUAAGAUUGCUUCUACCAGCUUUGUGUUAUUUAGCAGUAGAAGAGGAUGCUAGAAAAAUUUUACUUACUCACAAACAAGAUGAAGUCUUAUUUGAAAGUUUAUCUUAUCAUUGGACAAUAGUACAUUAUAAAAAACCACCAGUUCCAAGAUCGGAACGCUUAAAAGCAUUGAAAGAAACAGAUAAAACAGAUGAAUUGGACUUACAAACUUUAGAAGAAAUGAAGGAUUCAAGGACAGCAAUGGUUUCUAUAUGCAAUGUUUUAAUGAAUAUAACUGUGUUAGAAGCCAAAUUAGUAGAGGAAUCUCCCAUAUAUAUUUCUUUAUUGAAAUUCAUUUUCAAUAAUCUUCCAGAAUUGAAACAAAUGCCAGACAAUUUAGUUCUUCAUGGUCAUUUAGCAGUUCUAGGACUCUUAUUAUUAAAACAACAAGCAAAACGUAUUAAGAAGAAUGAUUUUUCAAUAUGCCGUUAUAUUCAAGCUACUAUCAGAUUUUUAUGGGAUGCAUAUAUAAUAGAUGAAAGUAAUGAUCCAACUGAAUUAGUUGUUGCUAUGUCCUAUAAAGAACGUUGGAUGGAACUUAUGGAGCUCUGGUUUCUUGGAAUGCAAACAAUGGCUGGAGUAUUACAAGUAAUACCAUGGUUAUCACAAUUUACGAUUGAAUCUGGAUGGGCAGAAGAAAUUAUUGAAACUUUGAAAAAAGUUAAAAUAGGUAGUUUACAACCAAAUGUAAAAUCUGCUUUUGAAGAUCUACUAUGUCAUCUGGUACAGGCAGAUCAAGGUGUUGCAGCAGUUUUGAAGAAAUGUGGAGCAUUGACAGUUUGCAGAAAUCAUCGCAUGAUGGAACUUGGAAAACAUUUAUUUGGAGAUUAAAAUUAAAUCCUUUAAUAAUUUAUAUAUAUAUAUAUACAUAUACACACACAUAUAUAUAUAUCAAUUAAAAGUAAUUUUUAUUAAUUUUUGCAAGAUUCUAUAUGCUUUGUACAAUUAAAAAUAGAAUUUAUAAGUUUAUUGUAUUCUACUUCAAAUAAUUUAUGUAUAUAAAGUGCUGCAAAACGUUUAAAAAAUUUAAUAUUUUAUUGUAUAUUAGUUAUAACAUUAAAUUAUAAUGAUGAGAAAAUUAUAUCCUUAUAAAUAUAAAUUAUAUCCUUAUAAACAUCUUGUAAGUAAACUCUUUGAUUGGAUUACUUACAAGAACAUUUCACUCAGCUAAAACUCUAGAAGCUCUUGAGACUUCGUCUAUUCAUCAAAAUUGUCUAUACCAACGUCCGCGGGUGCUACUUCGAGUGUCCACUAAUCGGCUCGAGUAUUUCAAUGAAUCAAUGCAUUUUCUAGCUGGCCGAGGAGCUGACACAAGAAUAUGGAAUUCCUGAAGAAGUAUCCAUAAAAGUUACAACUACAUAUUUGAAGCU